ACCAAGGGAAUAACAUCUUCCUUCCAAUCGAAGACUUCCCACCUAACAAGGAACAAGGAACUUACUCCAGAUUUAUUCCAGAGUCUGCAGCCUCAGCCAGCAGGGAAGCAAAGAAAACUCCUUCCAGCCCUGCAGAGCCACACCACACACCGAGCUCCUCAGCUGCCUGCCUGAUGAUGCAAGGAGUGAAUAAGCACGAAUAAAGACACAGAAACUGGG